ACAGCCCGGAAGCUGCGGAAGCGGAUGAGGGAAGCGCGGCCGCGGCCCUGGGGGGCGGUGCGGAGCUGCUGGAGACUCGGCCUUCUCCGGGCCCCUUGUACGGCCCUCAUGCGGCGCCCUCGCUGACACCUGAAACCCGCCGGUCGCCGUCCUCCUGGGGACCGCGGGGUAGCCGGCCCGCCGCCCUUGGCGGUUGAAGUCGUCGGCUUGCGGGCCCGCGGCGGCCGCCCAUGGAGAAGGCCGGGCGGGGAGGCGAUGGCGCCCCCCGGGGGCCCGUACUGCACAUCGUGGUGGUCGGCUUUCAUCACAAGAAGGGCUGCCAGGUUGAAUUCUCUUACCCGCCCCUGAUUCCAGGAGAUGGUCAUGACAGCCACACUUUACCUGAAGAAUGGAAGUAUUUGCCCUUCCUUGCCUUACCAGAUGGCGCACACAACUACCAGGAAGAUACUGUGUUUUUUCACUUGCCACCCAGAAAUGGAAAUGGAGCCACAGUAUACGGUAUCUCCUGCUAUCGACAAAUUGAAGCCAAGGCCUUGAAAGUACGGCAAGCAGAUGUCACCAGAGAGACUGUUCAGAAAAGUGUCUGUGUUCUAAGCAAGUUGCCUCUCUAUGGCUUACUUCAAGCAAAACUUCAGCUCAUUACACAUGCAUACUUUGAAGAGAAGGAUUUUUCCCAAAUUUCCAUUCUAAAGGAGCUUUAUGAGCAUAUGAAUAGUUCCUUGGGAGGAACUUCAUUAGAAGGAUCCCAAGUAUAUCUUGGUCUGUCUCCUCGAGAUCUUGUGCUUCAUUUUCGACACAAGGUCUUAAUCCUGUUUAAACUAAUUCUUCUUGAAAAAAAGGUUCUCUUUUAUAUUUCUCCAGUGAAUAAAUUGGUGGGUGCCCUGAUGACUGUAUUAUCCCUUUUUCCAGGCAUGAUUGAACAUGGUCUCAGUGACUGUUCUCAGUACAGACCCCGAAAGAGUAUGUCUGAAGAUGCUGGGCUUCAUGAAAGUAAUCCCCCUGCAGAUGAUUUAGUUUCUAUGUCUGCUCCCAACAUUUCAAAUGCCAACUCAGGAACUGUUAAGAAAAUCAUGACAGGAAGCCAUGGAGGAGAUGCUGGCAUCAAGACUGAAGAACCGUUGCUCCAAGUAGAAGAUGACAGCAGCAAAGGACAGGAACCCAAUGAUACCAGUCAAUAUUUGAAACCUCCUUCUCGCCCAUCUCCAGAGUCCUCAGAAAGUGACUGGGAGACCUUGGAUCCUAGCAUCUUAGAGGACCCCACCUUGAAAGAAAGGGAACAGGUGGGGUCAGAACAGACAGACUCAUUUCCAAAGGAGUCUGUGCCCUCAGACAGUCCUCCGAUUACUGUACAACCUCAAGCUAAUACGGGCCAGAUGGUUCUGAUACCAGGCCUAAUUUCCGGUUUGGAAGAGGACCAAUAUGGCAUGCCCCUGGCCAUCUUCACAAAGGGAUAUCUGUGUUUGCCUUAUAUGGCGUUGCAGCAGCAUCACCUUCUCUCUGAUGUCACCGUCCGUGGAUUCGUUGCUGGGGCUACUAACAUCCUUUUCCGCCAGCAGAAGCACCUCAGUGAUGCCAUUGUGGAGGUAGAAGAAGCUCUGAUCCAGAUCCAUGAUCCAGAACUCAGGAAGCUGCUUCACCCAACCACUGCAGACCUCAGGUUCGCAGAUUACCUAGUGAGGCAUGUGACGGAGAACCGGGAUGAUGUCUUCCUGGAUGGCACAGGCUGGGAGGGAGGUGAUGAAUGGAUCCGAGCCCAAUUUGCAGUCUACAUCCACGCGUUGCUGGCUGCCACACUGCAGUUAGAUAAUGAAAAGAUCUUAUCGGACUAUGGGACAGCCUUUGUUACAGCCUGGAAGAGUACUCACAACUACAGGGUGUGGAACAGCAACAAGCAUCCGGCACUUGCAGAAAUAAAUCCGAAUCAUCCUUUCCAAGGCCAGUACUCAGUGUCAGACAUGAAGUUAAGAUUCUCACACUCUGUUCAAAACAGUGAACGUGGCAAAAAAAUUGGAAACGUCAUGGUCACAACCAGCCGAAAUGUUGUACAAACAGGAAAAGCUGUUGGCCAGUCAGUUGGAGGAGCUUUUUCCAGUGCAAAGACAGCUAUGUCUUCAUGGCUUUCUACUUUCACCAGUCCUGCCCCCCAGAGUCUCACUGAGCCACCCAACGGGAAGCCCUGAGCAAGGUGUCCAGAGGCAGCUGUCACUUCCUUAGGUUUAAGAGUCUCCCGUCUGUCUGCUGCUCCCAGACUGUUCCUCUUCAUCGGCCACAGGUCCACAGCAGGGGACCAGUACAUCAAACUGUUUACAUGGACGGUUGUCCUCUGUCUAGAUGAAUGUCGCAGGAUGCUGGAAAGAUGAAAUCACACCCAUGGCGGGGAUGGCUUUCCAGGUGAUGACCCCUGCAGGAAGAACCCCUUAGUUUCUCUGGAAUUCUAAGUGCACAAAGUACAACCACACAGAGAUUGGUCGUGCGAUAAUAUCACAUGUUCACUGACAGAGACCCCCAGGGGAAUAGAACAUUGUCGCGAGCAGCCUUUUUUCCCACCUGGACCGCUGUUCUGCAAAAGAGGAGCUUUGAGAUGUGCUUCACAGAAGCAGACAAGUUUCUUCGCCCCAGGGGAAGGUUCACUUCCUUGAGUGCAGGGUUAAGUUUAAGGUCCCAGUGUUCUCUGACAUGGACCAUUAGCACCCCGGAGAUGAUGACGUAUUUGGAGACAGUCAAGCUUGGCACCGCCAGCAUCUCCCCUUUUCCAAGGACCUCUGCCGCCUGGCGUCAGGCUCUGCCAUGGUGAGGUGGAUGGUUCCCCCUCACCUCCAAGGUCACAACUGCCUAUUCUUUACUCCGAUAGGAUGGGAGUGGCAAUUUUUGAAUCUGGUAACCUCUAGAAGGACUAUGAUUGUGGAGCAGCUUUUUCCCCCACAAGGAACAACCCUUCGUGAAGGUCUUCUCUGCCUGGGCUUAGUCUCCACAGGGUUGGGGAACUGCACAUAAACACACUUUGUGUGAUCCUGGAGUCCGAAGCCAGAGAACAGCCUGGGGCAGGAGAUCAGAAUGGUUAUGCUCUUUGUUCUUCAUCCUGUGAACACCUGCGUUUGGAACUGCUGACAUCCUAGCACAACACAAGAACCGAGAUUCAGAUCGUUUAAAUGUAUGUGUUUUAUCUUUCCCUGGACCCGGCCACACUCCUGGAGCACACAGAUGUGGACUGGAACUGUGGGGAAAUACUGAUCAUUGUUGAAGCCCGGCGAUGAGUUCUAUGCACCGGUUCAUGGAGAUGGAUGAAGGAAACUUAUUUUUAUCCUCCAAAGGGCUGACAUUCCCCAAGUGUAACAAUCACAUAAAGGUCCAGUGGUUUCCAGAACUGUCCUGGGCAGCCACAGACCCUAAGGACUUUUAACACUGCAUCAGAGGCACACUGGCCUCCAGACACCCAAGAUUUGCACAUCUUUGGCUGCUUGCACUCGGAAGCCACUCUUAGAAGAACCCAAGUCCCUCAUGCUCAUACUGCAUUAAACCCCGCCUUCUCCCUAUCAAGUAUUCGAGUGCCUACUAUGCACGCACAUAGCACAUGCCACACACGUGGUUCCUGGCCCUCUUGGAGCUUGCUGUUCAGGAGGGGCAGGUGAGCAGUCACCAGGGGGGCAAAGAGGGCAGGAUCAGACGUAAGCCAGGGUGUGUUCUAGCACGUCACGGUGGCCAGCUGCUGUCCGACAGGGAUGAGUAGAAGUCUCCUCCCCUGGGAGCCUAAAUUGAGACCUAAAGGCUAAGUGCUGGUUGUGGGGGUGAGGUGGGGAUGAGGGAAGAGGUUGUAAGCUACAGAGGGCUCGGGAGCUGGGAAGACAGCAUAGGCAGACUUGGAAGCAGUGAAUGUUCUUUGGUGUGGCUGGGACCUAAAUGGCCAGGUCAGGAUGGGGAGAACUCUGCGAGCCAGGAGAAAGGAGUAUAGACUUGUUUGAGAAGGCAGGGGGAAAACCUGGAAGGGCUUCCUUGCAGGCCAGAGACAGGUUGGAUGCUGCAUUUUAGAAAAUUGGUCAACAAGGGGGUAGCACUGCUAUCGCACUGCCCUUGGCCAUAAAUUCAGUGAUGUUUCUCUGGACCAAUAGCACCUUUUCCUUUCCCCAGUAGCCCAGCCUCACAGCUUUCCACUGACUUCAAAUCACAUGUGCCCCAAGCAGUAGGCCCCAGAACAGAACCCAUGAUGCUGCUGUCCAUCAAAAAGCAGUCACUGUGACAACAUGUGUUUUUCUUUGAUUUCGCCAGGGCUUAGUGGGGCUUGUUAGUGAGAAUCAAGUCUGAGUGAUUUUGGGGAGUAUGCGGGAACACUCCGCCAUCUUUAACUUACUCUUCUUGGCCCAGUGGACCAGAAGACAUCUCUCACCAGCUCUGUGUGGAUAGGUUUAAACUUGGGUAAAAGUCACUUUUCCUCUGCACAGUUUACAAGCAGUAAAGGAGUGUUUUGUAUAUUCGAAAAGUCCAUCUGCAGUCACCAUCUGGAUUUUCAUUCAUAUUUGUUCCAAUCCAUGGAAUUUUUUUUUUCUGAUAACUUUCCCAGAUGAACCACGUGCUUUGCUCUGGGGGAUGAUUAGGUCAAAGUAGGACAGCAGAGAAUUUGAAAAAUAGCCUUUCCACCUGCUCUUCCUGGCUGUGCCCUAGAAGAUGGUCCCUCAGCAACACUUCCUAGAAACCACGGAGACCGAAGUUAAACCACGCAGUCUUCGGCUGCAGUGACCCUGAGCAGCCCUCUGUUCAAGGUCAUCCACGAGACACUGGUACCUCCUCUCCUCGCCCUCAAUAGAUCAUUCACUCCCCCUAAAUGCCUUUGAAGUGGAAAUUCCCAGGUAAAGUUUUAACAGAUAAACAUGAAUAUUUCUUUGUGUCACCCACUCUGUUGUUAUUUAAAAUCACAGGGACCAGCAGGACUAGAAUUUUUUAAAUCUUAUGUAUUUUCCCACCUUCAAAGUAUGUUUUUCCAUUAGUGACACCUCCCUUGUUUUGCAACUCAAAAGUUUAAAACAUUUUUAUUCUGAGUGCCAUUAAUUCCAUUUUUCUUUGGGGUCCUUGUUGUUUUUUUGUUUUGUUUUGUUUUGUUUUGUUUUAAUUUUAUUUUAUUAUAUUGUGUUAAUCACCAUGGGGUCCUUGUUGUAAAUGAAGUGUACUAGUUAAUACUGCUCUGGUUGGGAAACGUGUUUUUUGUCCUUUUACAUUAUCAGGUUAAAUCCUGUGACUCUUCUCCCUUAAAGAGCAGACUGUGUUUCCAAAGUUUCUAACACAAUUCCUAGGGAACACGGAAUGGAUUUCCUGUAUUGAAAACGUUGCUAUGGACGCCAUGUCUUAGUUCAUAGAAACCUGCAUGUCAGAGAGCCAGCGUAUAUAUGAAAACAUAGUAUAAAGGCGCUUGAGGACUGAAAUGCUCUGUACAGCAGUCCAAAAAAAUGUGUUAACAACCUGACAGCUGAAAACAUAGCUCCCCUCUGCUACAGCCCCAGCAGCAAGUAAAGAUUCACUCAGUCACAAAACCUCUUAAUAUGGUCCUGUCUGGAGUUCAGAAGACAAGAGGACACCUCAGAACUUUGAUAUAAAGUGAUGAGUGUCUUAAGAGGUCCAGUAAAGUGCGUGGUGGUCCUUUCUGCUGGGACAAUCAGAGAGGGCUUCCUGGAGGAAGUAGCAUUUGCUCUGUUCCUUGAGUGAGUGAAGAAGGUAAGAUUCCGAAUAGAGGCAGUAUAAGAAUGAGCAGAUUUUUAGCCUACCCUGGGGGCGUGGGGGCAUGGCCUGUGAUGCAGUAAAGGAGCAGGUCAGAGUGAGUAAAGCUUUAGGAAGGGGUAAGGAGUGAUAAUGGAGGAGAACUAAGGAAGAAAUCCGUCUCUGGAGAUGCUAAAGCCAGACGGAGCCUGAGAUGCAUAAAAACCACCUGAGUUUCUUGGUGAAAAUACAGGAUUAAGCAAAAGAGAGCAAGGAGGGGGAAAUCCCCUAAGUGGCAGAUGCAGGAAGGAAAAGAAGUACAGUUGAUCCUUGAACAAAGUGGGAAUUGGGGGCACCGCCCCCACCCCCAUGCAGUCAAAAAUUCGUGUGUAACUUUCAACUCCCCCAAAACUUUACUUACAGCCUACUGUUGACCACUAGCCUUACUGAUAAUGUAAACAGUUGAUCAGUGUAUGUUUUGUAUGUUAUAUGUAUUGUAUACUGUAUACUUAGAAUAAAGUAAGCUAGGGAAAAGAAAAUGUUAUUAAGAAAAUCAUAAGAGAAAAUACAUUUCAGUUCCGUACCAUAUCAAAAAACUCCAUGUAUGAGUGGACCCACACAAGUCAAACUCACAUUGUUCAAGGGCCAACUUACUCUCUCCGGUGGGAAACUUCUCAAAGUCUCGGAUCAGUGAUGAGUAAGGCCACUCUGACUGAAGUGGACACCUUCCUGCAGCACUUGACCAUUUCUUCCUUCCUUAGUUAGGUGUCCGUGCUUCCUGUAGAAUAUCAAGGUUCCACACUCCAAAAGAGUUCUUUUUUGAGUGUGUUUGAAUGUUCAGCUAACAUUUGUUUCAUUGCUUUGAAAGAUAUGCCCUUUUGUACCUGGGUGGCUCAGUUGGUUAAAUGUCUGACUGUUGAUCUCAGGGUUGUGAGUUCAAGCCCUGUGUUGGGCUUCAUGCUGGGUGUGAAGCCUACUUUAAAAAAAAAAAAAAAAAAAGAUGGCCUUCUAAGAAGCAGGAUCAGUCAUUAAAGCUGGAGUGAACAUUUUUUUGGCCCUCUUGUUUAAUUAAGAGAGCAUCUAACUCAUUUUAAAUGGACUUAAUCUCAUCCUAAGGCUGGCCAGCAUUCCAUUCCUAAGCGUUUAUAUCAAAGAAAUAAUCCAAAAGGAGGAAAAAAAGUAUAUGUAUGGAGUUUUGUGUCAUUAUAAUGAAUAAUGAAAACUUGGGAACAGCCAACAGAAGGACUGCCAUGGUACGUAAGUGUAAUACGAACAUGUAUGAUGCUCACUGUCAUGUUAGACAGCUGUUAAUCCCUUGAGAAGUGGGGUAAUGAGGAGAAGAGGAAAACAGGAAAAAAAACCAAACUUCUCCAAAGAUAGGCAGGUCCGAGUGGGGCAGGAAUCCGACUUGCUUCUCUACUUCCUCUUCCUUCUUCCUAUGUCUUUUCUCAGUUUCUCCCACACCGGUGUGAGAAGUUGGCUAUUGUACUGGAGGAAGUCAACAGUCCAAGCACACAUGGAGGUAGAGAAGACACUGCACGUGAGUAGAAGCCUCUCGGGCCCGGAACACGUCUCCAUCGCCAUCCCUACUGUUCUGCGGCUGACCAUCUAGUGUUACGAUGGACAGUGAGGGUGGGGGGCCUGGCACAUAGUAGGCACUUGAUGACUAUUGCGACGUGAACAAAACCUUCCUUUCCAGGGCUGGACUCUGCCAUUAUAGCUUCCCACUCACCGUGUACCUGAUGGACUGAAAGAGCAGAAGGAGCUAAGGAAGCAAAACAAAGCAGUGCUUUCGACUGUUUCUGUUUUACAAAGUGCUUGGUGAAACUGUAAAAGGAUAUUUAGUACCACAAAAAGUAGGCCAAGGGUAAGGAAAACUCUCCAUACCCAAGAGAAUUCAGCUGACCAAAUUAAGUCUGAUCCAGAAUAAACAGUUCUCAUCUGGAAAUCUAGCAGUUCCAGAAAGUACCGUCCAAGGGGAAAACGGCCCACAGUGCUGGUCUGCGUGAUUAUGUAACCCUUGAAGAGAGCGGGAAGAAGUGCUGCCGUACUGGGGUGCACGGGGAGGAAAGUUCUCGGGCCUCAAAGUGGAGGACUGUGCAGCUAGAGAGAAACCAGGCUCACAUGCCCUUUCUCUUGAACUUGACCAAGCUCGGUCAUUUUUCCCAGUGCUUACCCAGUGUCCAAAACCUACAGCAAGGUUUCUAUUAUCAAAUCCGUCCCACAGGACUAACUUUCAAAUCGUCGUGUGAGUAGCGCUUCAUGUGAAGAAACUCUUGAAGUGAAACCAGACUCAGCUUCAGGGUUCAAGACCAUUCACUUUGGUGUUUGUCAGGAAAAGCAUUAUCACUGCCUCUUUAAAGAUCACUUAAAAACAUCAGACAGACUAAAUCGCAGAUGGUGAGAGGAAUUUAAAAUAUAACCUUCUUUCUGGAACGAUUUGUAAAAAUCCAGGCUUACCAUUGAAAGCCAGGAUUCCAAGAUGUGCACGCACACUGUUGAUGGCCGCGUUUUCCACAGUCGUCAACGGGUGGAAGCAAGCAGUGUCCACCCACUGCCGAGUGGGUAUACAAGAUGGGCGGUAUUCACGCGAUGGAAUAUUAUUCAGCCUUUAAAAGGAAGGAAAUUCUGGCACGUGCCGCGACACGGAUGAGCCUUGGAGACCUGAUGCCAAGUGAAAUAAGCUGGUCACAAAAGGACAAAUACUGCCAGACUGGGGACUGAUCCCAGGGAGCCCAGAUGCUGACUCACGCAGGCUCAGAUGUUAAACCAAACUCUCAUUCCUGGGAUAAAAACCUACGUGGUCAAAUCCUUUUUAUGUGUUGGGGAAUGCGGCUGUAAGAAAAUCCCCACCCUCAGAAACAGCGAUCAUUUUGGAGAAGAGAGCGCCAGUGAGAACACUCAGCAGAAUGACUGGAACAAGCAACAGAUCAAGGUAAAAGUUACUGAAGACCCAUCUACAGUGCCAGAGGGGAGUCUGAUGCCAGAAUUGGUAGCAAUGUGCAACCCUCCAAUAUAGAAAAUUUUAUCACCAAAAGCCGCAGCCGAAGCGAAAGACCGGCUAGUCUGCCUCAUGGCCAUUUCUACCCAUGAAUCAGACCUGGGAAAGUAGCAGUACAUGAGGUUCAGUGUCAUGACGUAAAUGCAGUCAUGAACCACCACCGCCGCACUCCACUGCCAAGCACACGGCAAAGGGCUUACCAUCGUCCACUCAUCCUUCUCAGUAUCGUAUCUUUCCACCGUCCUCCGAUUAAGUUCUCCACCUACACUGUCUCCUCCAAUUGCAUAGAUAUACCCUUCACAGCAAACCAGAGAUGGCUUUAUGCGGACAAAAAGCAUCGGGGUCUUUGGAAACCAGAGGAACUUGACCCCCUGCUAUAUAGAUGUCAUUAUCAGGAGUCACAACGGUCCCAACCUUAUGCAGAUCGGCUGGUGGGCUACACAGCUUGUAAACUUUCUCUGCUUGGGGACUGUAACAGACAGAAGAGUAAAGACUACAAGGAUUUUCUGAAGAUGCUUCAAUGAAAAUCAUCAUCUCCUCUUUAGUCAUUCCAAGUCUUGGUUUGAAAAACUUGGGCAUAGACUUAUACAGACCUUGAACCACUACAGACUUGUCAUUGGGCGGCAGGCCUUGAAACCAAGCUCUCUGUGUUACUUCGGAAAGUGCAUCAAUUCUGAUUUGGCUAAGAACUGAAGACAAAUACUGGGAUCGUGAUUCUGUGUUGUACUCUAGCCACAGCAUAGCAGCUUCGCGAACCGUCUCCUCCUUUUCCACAUUUAAAUUGUCACUACUGAGGAUGUCUAUCAGUAGGUCAUGUGACAGCUGCAUGAAAGCUUCCUGGUGGUACACAGCGGUGAACUUGUGCUCUACCAUUCUUUUAGCACUUUGUUUUAAUUCCUCACAACUGAACAGAUCGGCAAAACUCAACAAUCGCACACAAUUCUCUGCAUUUAUUUUUUUAAUUAAGUAUUCUCGACAACGUUGUAAUACAUCUUCUACCUAAAAUGGAAAGGAUGACAAAGACAAAUUUUACUUUUAUGUGAAACACAAGGUAUUAUUAAUCAGAUCCCUACACUACAGUUUCUAUUUUUAGAUAUGUAUGCUUGGGCAAAGAGAUAAUGCCUCCUAAUGAUAAAAUUAGAAGACCAUGCAUAGUUUUACAUUUCUGCUACUAGUCCAGUGGCCUACUUAAGUGCCCCAUUUAGGAGCUAACAGUGCAACAUUACAUAGGCUCUUAAAAAUAAAUGGUCUUAAAGUAUGGAAAGUUAUGCAUAACUGAAAAAAAACAAAAUGGAAACAAUGUAGAUCACAGUACAUAAAUGGUUAUCAUUUAUCAUAAAUUUAUCAUAAAUGAUCACUAAGUUGAGCUGGAAUCUGGCUUUCUCAACAUGGACAAGAUAGUACUAUAAAACAAGAAAACCAUGCACAGUGACUAAGUCCUUAUUUAUUUGCCUUUCUUAUCUAGAGAGAGAAUGUAACCAAAGGAAUAAAUACAUUUCUAUGCA